GUUUUGUUGCUGUGGAUUUUAAAUUGCAUGUUUUUAUAUUUUAGGAUUUGAUUAUAGUUUUAUUUGCAUGUUUUUAUAUUUUAGAAGUUGAUUGUAUUUUGGAUUGCACAUUUUUACAUUUUAGAAGUUGAUUGUAUUUUUGAUUGCAUGUUUUUAUUCCUUGUGGACUUGCUUGCUGGUGUUUUAAGACAUUGCCCCUUUUAGCUGGUUGCCCCUAACAACAAAAGUGCACAAUUCAACGGCACGGGAAAUUGGAUACACCUGUGGAGCAUUAGGACUGCACAUUUAAAAGGAGCAGCAAGAGAUUGGAGGACAGAGGGUUGAUGGAGGGAAACGGCAGGUUUUGGCAGCAGGAGAGAGGGGACGGAAGGAUUCGGCAGGCUUCGCCAAGAGCGACCGAGCGAACGCACGCAGGCGGGGAAGGAACCCCCGGACGACACAGCACAUCCCGCAGGCUACCGGAGCGAACCCCGAGGAACACACAACACGCAGGGGCAGAGGAAACUCUGCCUCCAACGUAAGUCCCGUGUGUUGUGGAGCUGUGGAGACAUCUGACUGCCUUUGGCUGUGGCUUUGCGGGCUCGUGCGUCGUAGCUGGCUGUGUAGUUCUUGUGGACGGGGCGAUUUGGACCCGGAGACCUGCGGUGACCCCCGAUAGUGACCAAGAGGCGGAGCGGGACGGGUGGGGCCACGUAGGUCCCGCUAGUGACCGAGACUGGCGAGGAGAGUGGGCGUGCCCCAACACUUUGACGGGGAACUACAGCAAAGGCAGGGGAAACCCUGCCUUGUGUGAGGACGCCGUGGAAGGGGCGAAGCCAAGAUACCCACACGCCUGUUGGCCCCUCGCCCAUCACCUUUGUACCAUCUGGUAUUUUAGCAUCAACAACGUGACUGUUUUUAUUGUAUUUUAAUAUAUUGUGAACCGGUUAA